GCGGAUGUCGUAUAAUGGUUAUUACCCCAGCCUUCCAAGCUGGAGAUGACGGUUCGAUUCCGUUCAUCCGCU
rnacentral:tRNA from 1 species